rnacentral:lncRNA from 1 species
UCGCCCCGCCGGGUCUGCUCCCGGGCGCCGGCGCUGCUGCCUCGCUCCCCUCCGUCAUUUUGGGUAGACUUGGGGUUUGCAGAUCUUUGCUUGUGGUCGCUGUAAACCACGUUGUCUGCCCGAGUAGCAUCGGUAAAAAUAAACCACCCUAUGCAGAAAACCGCUGUGUCGGUUUUUGUUCUCGGAUUUAAGAGAAGACGGCGGGGAGCUCCGAGCCCGACCUAGGUCUGGCCGAGUAGGAACGAAGGCUGAAGGCGACUCUCGGAGUGGAGGAAGCGGCUCUGGGCUCGGCGCCGCCCGGGCUCUGAAGCUGGCAAGUGGAUUUACUCUGGGGAGAAGCGACCGUGUUUUGCGACCUUGCAAGACCUAUCUGUGCAGUAAUAUGAAGAGAGCAAGCACUGAAGUGGACCAAACAAAACUUCUAGUAAAUCAGAAAUGUGGUCACAGCCAGCCAGCGUACAAAGGCUGAGAGAGCUGCAGUGUUCAGGACAGAAACAAAUGCAGCAAAAUAAGCGGGGAAGCUUAUUCCCCUUAGAGCUACGCUUAUGGCAUUAUUAAGACCGCAGAGCGAUGUGCCCAAAGGUCUAGAACCCCGCUCGGAAGACAGCGUGCACAGCGCAGGCCAGCCCUCUGUACACGCGCCUCCCUUCAGCUCUGGCUUCCUGCUUCUCUCGCUGGGCCUCCUCUCUCUGUUAGCAAACAUGGUGGGCUUGCUUUGAAGCUGACUGCAUAAGACAGAAGAGGACCAUCCUAUUUCCUUUCAGCGCUUCUUUCACGUUACCAAAUUGUGAAGCCAGUGCUGCAAGCUGACAGCAUAACUGGUUAUGCAGAAGAAGCAGAAGCAGCGUUCAGGAGGUGGCACUGGACUGAUCAAGGGCAGCAUGGCAGAAAUGAAACUUUCAGCCCCUGCUCUUGCCAGGCAUUUCCACAGAAAUGUGCUUUUCAGGUUCAUGGCUGUACUAAUAUACACCAUUACACGCAUUUUGGAAAUCCAGCUCUUACACUGCUGAUCACACAUUUAUUUUCAAUCCCAAGGCCCCGGGGCACUCAAAAUGACAGGUGCUGCUGCACAAGAUGGAUGAUGAGAGCUUUCCUUCACAAGGGAAGGCUGGAGGUAGG